UACAGAGGUCUCAAGCGUUGUCCGGAUUUAUUGGGCGUAAAGGGUGCGUAGGCGGUGCGGUAAGUCGGGUGUGAAAUCUCGGAGCUUAACUCCGAAACUGCAUUCGAUACUGCCGUGCUUGAGGACUGGAGAGGAGACUGGAAUUUACGGUGUAGCGGUGAAAUGCGUAGAGAUCGUAAGGAAGACCAGUGGCGAAGGCGGGUCUCUGGACAGUUCCUGACACUGAGGCACGAAGGCCAGGGGAGCAAACGGG
rnacentral:rRNA from 1 species